UAGAAAUUAUAUAAGGCUGGGCUCGGCGGCUCACAGCUGUAACUCCAGGACUUAGGGAGGCUGAUGCAGGUGGAUGACCUGAGGUCAGGAGGUUAAUACCAGCCUGGCCAACAU